rnacentral:rRNA from 1 species
CCUACGGGGGGCAGCAGUGAGGAAUAUUGGUCAAUGGACGCAAGUCUGAACCAGCCAUGCCGCGUGCAGGAAGACGGCUCUAUGAGUUGUAAACUGCUUUUGUACGAGGGUAAACGCAGAUACGCGUAUCUGUCUGAAAGUAUCGUACGAAUAAGGAUCGGCUAACUACGUGCCAGCAGCCGCGGUAAUACGGAGGAUUCAAGCGUUAUCCGGAUUUAUUGGGUUUAAAGGGUGCGUAGGCGGUCGGAUAAGUUAGAGGUGAAAUCCCGAGGCUCAACUUCGGAAUUGACUCUGAUACUGUUCGGCUUGAGAGUAGUUGCGGUAGGCGGAAUGUAUGGUGUAGCGGUGAAAUGCUUAGAGAUCAUACAGAACACCGAUUGCGAAGGCAGCUUACCAAGCUACUUCUGACGUUGAGGCACGAAAGCGUGGGGAGCAAACAGGAUUAGAUACCCUAGUAGUC